CCGUGAUAUUAAUACCCACAUCAUAGCGCGGCGGGCGAUGCAGUAACCCCCACCAGCAGGGGCGCUGCUUGGGCCGAUAUUUUAAAAACAAUAUACCUACAAAAGCCCAAGCGACUAAAAAUUGUAUAUACACCCGACAGCACCCAUCCCGUGCAAGGCAUGCCCUCAGACAUACUCCACAAGGCCACCCUCGCCAACGGAUGGUAUAUCUAACAUCUACACAUUUACACAGCAUAUACUACGAAUCCCGACUGCCUCUCCAUGUACUCAAGCCGCGCAGUUUCGAAAGCAGUCCCGGUAGUUAAGCCCCGGGCUUUCACUUCUGACUUGCGUGGCCGCCUACGCUCCCUUUACACCCAGUAAAUCCGGAUAACGCUUGCCCCCUACGUAUUACCGCGGCUGCUGGCACGUAUUUAGCCGGGGCUUCUUAUUCAGGUACCGUCAUCAUCUUCCCUGCUGAUAUAGCUUUACAUACCGAAAUACUUCUUCACUCACGCGGCGUCUCUGGAUCAGGGUUCACCCCAUUGUCCAUAUUCACCACUGCUGACUCCCGUAGGAGUGUGGGCCGUGUCUCAAUCCCAAUGUGGCCGUUCACCCUCUCAGGCCGGCUAAUGAUCGUCGGUCUGGUGAACCGUUACUCGCCAACUGCCUAUCAAAACCGGCCCCAUCCCAUAACUAUAAAUAUUUGACGGGUG
rnacentral:rRNA from 1 species